rnacentral:rRNA from 1 species
UACGUAGGGGGCAAGCGUUGUCCGGAAUCAUUGGGCGUAAAGCGCACGUAGGCGGACGUGUCAGUCAGGGGUGAAAUCCCGGAGCUCAACUUCGGAACUGCCUUUGAUACAGCACGUCUUGAGUCCGGAAGAGGUGGGUGGAAUUCCUAGUGUAGAGGUGAAAUUCGUAGAUAUUAGGAAGAACACCGGUGGCGAAGGCGGCUCACUGGCCCGAUACUGACGCUGAGGCACGAAAGCGUGGGGAGCAAACAGG